GACGAACGCUGGCGGCGUGCUUAACACAUGCAAGUCGAACGGUGAAAGCGGAGCUUGCUCCGCUGGAUCAGUGGCGAACGGGUGAGUAACACGUGGGCAACCUGCCCCUCACUUCGGGAUAACUCCGGGAAACCGGGGCUAAUACCGGAUAUGACCUCCUUGGGCAUCCUUGGAGGUGGAAAGUUCUUCGGUGUGGGAUGGGCCCGCGGCCUAUCAGCUUGUUGGUGAGGUAGUGGCUCACCAAGGCGACGGCGGGUAGCCGGCCUGAGAGGGCGAACGGCCACACUGGGACUGAGACACGGCCCAGACUCCUACGGGAGGCAGCAGUGGGGAAUAUUGCACAAUGGGCGCAAGCCUGAUGCAGCGACGCCGCGUGAGGGAUGACGGCCUUCGGGUUGUAAACCUCUUUCAGCAUCGACGAAGCGAAAGUGACGGUAGGUGCAGAAGAAGGACCGGCCAACUACGUGCCAGCAGCCGCGGUAA
rnacentral:rRNA from 1 species